rnacentral:lncRNA from 1 species
GCUCCGCCUCCCGGGUUCUCGCCAUUCUCCUGCCUCAGCCUUCCGAGUAGCUGGGACUAUAGGUGCCCGCCACCACGCCAGGCUAAUUUUUUGUAUUUUUAGUAGAGAUGGGGUUUCACCGUGUUAGCCAGGAUGGUCUCGAUCUUCUGACCUCGUGAUCCGCCCGCCUCGGCCUCCCAAAGUGCUAGGAUUACAGGCGUGAGCCACCGCGCCCGGCAGCAAAUUUUAAGCCAAGAAAUUGAAUGUUGCCAGAACCCCAGGAACCACCCAGCCUCUUCCCAUAUGACCACUUCCCCACACUCUCCACCUUCCUUACUUCUAUGUACUACUUCUCCUUCCUGAUGCCACGUGAAGAAGGACAUGUUUGGUUACCCUUCUGCCAUGAUUCUGAGUUCCCUGAGGCCUCCUCAGCCCUGCAGAACUGGGCCUUAAUCACUGAGGACAAGUGUAUGCUGAC